rnacentral:rRNA from 1 species
GACGAACGCUGGCGGCGUGCCUAAUACAUGCAAGUCGAGCGGAUCGGCGGACGGGUGAGUAAUGCCUAGGAAUCUGCCUGGUAGUGGGGGAUAACGUCCGGAAACGGGCGCUAAUCCCGCAUACUCUCAGAUGAGCCUAGGUCGGAUUAGCUAGUUGGUGGGGUACAGGCCUACCAAGGCGACGAUCCGUAACUGGUCUGAGAGGAGGAUCAGUCACACUGGGACUGAGACGCGGUCCAGACUCCUACGGGAGGCAGCAGUGGGGAAUAUUGGACAAUGGGCGGAAGCCUGAACCAGCCAUGCCGCGUGAGUGAAGAAGGUCUUCGGGUUGUAAAGCACUUUAAGUUGGGAGGCGUUACCUACAGAAUAAGCACCGGCUAACUCCGUGCCAGCAGCCGCGGUAAUAC